GCUGCUACUGCAUCGACAUUUGCGGUGUUUUAAUUAAAAACGGCACUAAAAUUUAUUCCCUAAGCCGAAACGACGCCGUAUCUGUAAAUACAAUAAAUAUUUGUGGCAAUUUUUAUCAAAACGCCGGUAAUGUCACUAAAAUUUCAAGUACAGAAAGAAACGGCGCCAUUUUAUAAAAAUAUAAGGCAACAUUCUGGCGUUUUCCCAAAAAUGCCACAACUAAUAUAUUAUCGAACCAGCGGCGUUUCCAGAAAAUUUUAUACAUCCUUGCGGCGUUUUUAACAAAACGCCACUAAAAUAUUCCAUCCUUCAACUGAAACGGCGCCGUUUUGGUAAAGUUUAAAU
rnacentral:lncRNA from 1 species